UACGUAGGUGGCAAGCGUUGUCCGGAUUUAUUGGGCGUAAAGCGCGCGCAGGUGGUGCGGUAAGUCUGCCGUGAAAUCUCCCGGCUCAACUGGGAGGGGGCGGUGGAGACUGCCGGACUGGAGGGACUCAGAGGCCGGUGGAAUUCCCGGUGUAGUGGUGAAAUGCGUAGAGAUCGGGAGGAACACCAGUGGCGAAGGCGGCCGGCUGGGGGUGCCCUGACGCUGAGGCGGCGAAAGCGUGGGGAGCGAACCGG
rnacentral:rRNA from 1 species